UUUUUUUCUACUACAUGCACAGACAUGUUUAUAUCCAUUCAACCAAUCAAAUCGCACAGUAACAUUAAAAUCAAUAAUAGGUCUCAUAUUUUAUCAUUUUAACGCAGACAGAUGACGAGUACACAUCGUUAUAACUUCAAGCAGACGAAAAGGAGGUGUAAUUCGAUACAAUGUAUAAGACUUUAUUAAAGCAGACGAAUCAUUCUACUUUGCGACGUGACUAAAUGGAUCAAUACAUUAACAUUAGAAGUGACGAAAGCAACGAUUACUUCAUUGAUAACACGGCUUAUAAACGCAUAAUACAGUCGAAGCUACCGUUGUAUUUAGAAGGCAAUAGGAAAGUGGCGGUCAAGGAGUUUCAUGCCUCAGAAGAUCCUAAGUCCAGAACUAAACCAAUGAACCCACUUUACAUUCUGACAUUUGCCGAGAAAGUGUAGUGAAAAGGGGAAGAAGUUCGCUGCUAAGGCGAGUGGAGAAAACAAAUGAGACGACAUAUACGACAAUCCUUACUAUCUACCCCCGAGGAAAAAAGAUUUGACACAAUUCCAGUUGUACAUAGAGCAAGAAGACGGUAGUUCUGCUUCAAACUUGAAAGAACCCUUACACAUAACACUUCACUUAAAGCACUGUCUAUUUUUUUCUUUGAGAAAUCACAUAGUCGAAAACAUAACAUGGGAACAAAGAAGUAAUACGAACAUUUAAAAUGUAAAUAAAAUAAAACUAUGUACUGACUCCUGUUUGAGUAAUUGUGAAAGCAGUCACACUAACAUAUGGUUACGGUGUAGCCUCUAUCUGUUAUGUAAUCCAGUGUAAUGUUACAAUAAAAAAAAACAAGAAUAAAGGUGUUGUACGUA